rnacentral:rRNA from 1 species
CCGGCGACCGGCGCACGGGUGAGUAACACGUAUGCAACCUGCCCGUCUCAGGGGGAUAAUCGUCGGAAACGGCGUCUAAUACCCCAUAUGAAGCUGGACGGCAUCGUCUGGUUUUGAAAGAAUAUCGGAGACGGAUGGGCAUGCGGCGCAUUAGCUAGUUGGCGGGGUAACGGCCCACCAAGGCGACGAUGCGUAGGGGUUCUGAGAGGAAGGUCCCCCACACUGGUACUGAGACACGGACCAGACUCCUACGGGAGGCAGCAG